GUGUCAGCCGCCGCGGUAAGACGGAGGGGGCGAGCGUUGUCCGGAAUUACUGGGCGUAAAGGGCGCGUAGGCGGGCGUGUACGGCGGUGGUGAAAGCUCCUGGCUCAACUGGGAGAGGCCCUCCGCAACGGCACGUCUCGAGGGUGGUAGAGGCAGAUGGAAUUCCAGGUGUAGCGGUGAAAUGCGUAGAGAUCUGGAGGAACACCCGUGGCGAAGGCGGUCUGCUGGGCCAUGCCUGACGCUGAAGCGCGAAGGCCAGGGGAGUGAACGGGAUUAGAUACCCCGGUAAUCCUGGCGGUAAACGAUGGAUACUAGGUGUCAGUGGUAUCGACCCUACUGGUGCCGCAGCUAACGCGAUAAGUAUCCCGCCUGGGGAGUACGGCCGCAAGGUUGAA
rnacentral:rRNA from 1 species